UACGUAGGGGGGCAAGCGUUGUCCGGAAUCAUUGGGCGUAAAGAGCGCGUAGGCGGCCCAGUAAGUCCGCUCUGAAAGUCAGAGGCUCAACCUCUGAAUGCGGGUGGAUACUGCUGGGCUAGAGUCCGGAAGAGGCGAGUGGAAUUCCCUGGUGUAGCGGUGAAAUGCGCAGAUAUCAGGAGGAACACCGAUGGCGAAGGCAGGUCUCUGGGCCACUACUGACGCUGAGAAGCGAAAGCAUGGGGAGCGAACAGG
rnacentral:rRNA from 1 species